rnacentral:rRNA from 1 species
UACGGAGGAUGCAAGCGUUAUCCGGGAUUAUUGGGCGUAAAGCGUCCGCAGGUGGCUAGACAAGUCUGCUGUCAAAGACUGGAGCUCAACUCCGGGCAGGCGGUGGAAACUGUCGAGCUAGAGUACGGUAGGGGUAGAGGGAAUUCGCAGUGUAGCGGUGAAAUGCGUAGAGAUUGGGAAGAACACCAGUGGCGAACGCGCUCUACUGGGCCGUAACUGAAGCUCAGGGACGAAAGCUAGGGGAGCUAAAGGG